UACCAGCUCCUCGAGUGGUUGGGGCGUUUAUUGGGCCUAAAGCAUCCGUAGCCGGCUCCAUAAGUCCUCCGUUAAAUCCAACGGCUCAACCGUUGGGCUGCGGAGGAUACUGUGGGGCUAGGGGGCGGGAGAGGCGGACGGUAUUCCCUGGGUAGGGGUAAAAUCCGCUGAUCCAGGGAGGACCACCAGUGGCGAAGGCGGUCCGCCAGAACGCGCCCGACGGUGAGGGAUGAAAGCUGGGGGAGCGAACCGGAUUAGAUACCCCAGUAGU
rnacentral:rRNA from 1 species